CCUACGGGUGACAGCAGUGGGGAAUAUUGCGCAAUGGGCGAAAGCCUGACGCAGCGUCGCCGCGUGAGGGAUGAAGGUCUUCGGAUCGUAAACCUCUGUCAGCAGGGAAGAACGGUCACUGUGCUAAUCAGCAGUGAAUUGACGGUACCUGACUAAGAAGCCCCGGCUCACUACGUGCCAUCAGCCGCGGUAAUACGUAGGGGGCGAGCGUUAUCCGGAUUCACUGGGUGUAAAGGGAGCGUAGACGGCCAUGCAAGCCAGGGGUGAAAGCCCGGGGCCCAACCCCGGGACUGCCCUUGGAACUGCAUGGCUGGAGUGCGGGAGGGGCAGGCGGAAUUCCUGGUGUAGCGGUGAAAUGCGUAGAUAUCAGGAGGAACACCGGCGGCGAAGGCGGCCUGCUGGACUGCGACUGACGUUGAGGCUCGAAAGCGUGGGGAGCGAACAGGAUUAGAUACCCUAGUAGUC
rnacentral:rRNA from 1 species